rnacentral:lncRNA from 1 species
AGUAUUAGAAAUCAGUAACUGGUCACAAAUAGCAACAUUUGUUUGGUAUUUAAAACUAGUCAGAAGUAGGUUCAAGUCUAUAACAACUUACAACAUUAACUAGGGAGGUCAGAUUCCACAAAGCAUAUAGACGAGCAAGGCCAGCUGAUCUCCUAGGUCCUUGACUAAACAAAGCACUGAUUCCAGAUGGAAAUGGAAAUAGCACGCCGAGAGGGAGGACAAAUAAAACUAAGAAGAAGUUCACCAGCGACAGCGAGUACAUCUGAAGUAAGGUAAGCAACACUAAUAUAAAAUCCCCCAGGAGCAAAAUAGAGAUAACCAGACCGACUAGAUCCUGCAGUGAUACGAAAGAGCGUUGGUAAAAACGAUAAGUGUUUGUCAUGUAAAUGAGCUCUGUAAUGAAUAUAUCCACAAAUGAAGGCAACUACCUGUUUCAAGGUUAAAACAAAUGCUUGGAGUUUAUUCAGAGAAAAUUGAAACAUAAUGAAAAGUUACAUACUCCUUGAUCUCAUAUUAUCUGUGGUUUAAGGAUAUACAUACCUCUUAAAAAUAACAAAUCACUAAAUAUAACAACUCCCAUGAUAAACUAUUGACUAAAAAAAUACAGUUAUAUUUGUUUAUGAUUUUAUCAUUGUAUUUAUUACAGGUUACAGAAAAAUAGAUAAUAUAAUUAGAGGUAUGUUGGUAAAAAAUAAUUAAUGGACUUGAAAAUUUGAAAGAAUUUUUAUAAAAAGGGUCAAGGAAAAAUCUCAAGAGAUCCUAUAUUUAGGGGAAGUGUUAGUAAUAUAGAGCUAGAACUUGAGAUACAAUCAUAAAAAUAAAUAAAGGUACUAUUGAUGAAAAAGUAAUUAAUCAUAAAAAUAAUAUUCUAGUAACAAAUAAUGGACAGUUAACAUGAGAUGAGGAGAGUAUUAGAAAUCAGUAACUGGUCACAAAUAGCAACAUUUGUUUGGUAUUUAAAACUAGUCAGAAGUAGGUUCAAGUCUAUAACAACUUACAACAUUAACUAGGGAGGUCAGAUUCCACAAAGCAUAUAGACGAGCAAGGCCAGCUGAUCUCCUAGGUCCUUGACUAAACAAAGCACUGAUUCCAGAUGGAAAUGGAAAUAGCACGCCGAGAGGGAGGACAAAUAAAACUAAGAAGAAGUUCACCAGCGACAGCGAGUACAUCUGAAGUAAGGUAAGCAACACUAAUAUAAAAUCCCCCAGGAGCAAAAUAGAGAUAACCAGACCGACUAGAUCCUGCAGUGAUACGAAAGAGCGUUGGUAAAAACGAUAAGAGGAGAUGCAGCAGAUUUUAUAAAAACUGGGACAUGGUGAAGUUAACAAUGGAAAACAUUGUAAUA